UACGUAGGGGGCUAGCGUUGUCCGGAUUUAUUGGGCGUAAAGAGCGUGUAGGCGGCCAGAUGGGUCUGCUGUGAAAACUCGGGGCUCAACCCCGGGCCUGCUUCCGAUACGGGCAGACUAGAGGUAUGCAGGGGAGAAUGGAAUUCCUGGUGUAGCGGUGAAAUGCGCAGAUAUCAGGAGGAACACCGGUGGCGAAGGCGGUUCUCUGGGCAUUACCUGACGCUGAGGAGCGAAAGUGUGGGGAGCGAACAGG
rnacentral:rRNA from 1 species